AUGUGCAUCAUCAAACCCGUGGCUCCUCUGAGAGCCAAUCAUGUAUCAGAUUGCUUUGGGAGCAAAGAAAACAAGGCUGUGCGAGCGAGGUGUCUGGCCACGGCGCCCGGCCUCAUCUGUCUUCUUCUCAGCAAGGGGGUCUACCUGACCCCUAACCCCCGCAGAGAGCAGCAGCAUCCAUCACGACAUGUUAGGGAAGAGGUACUUUUAACCUGCACAAACUCAGCGAGUCCGUCACUAGUACCUGCAUGGGGAUGAAUAGCAGCUGUAGGUGCUGUCUCAGCAGGGAGGAGAUGAAAAG
rnacentral:lncRNA from 1 species